UACGAAGGGGGCGAGCGUUAUUCGGAAUCACUGGGCGUAAAGCGUGCGUAGGCGGUUUUGUAAGUUGGAAGUGAAAGCCCAGGGCUUAACCCUGGAAUUGCUUUCAAAACUACAAGACUCGAAUCUCGGAGAGGAUAGCGGAAUUCUCAGUGUAGCAGUGAAAUGCGUAGAUAUUGAGAGGAACACCAGUGGCGCAAGCGGCUAUCUGGACGAGUAUUGACGCUGAGGCACGAAAGCGUGGGGAUCAAACAGG
rnacentral:rRNA from 1 species